rnacentral:misc_RNA from 1 species
AAGACUAUAGACCUGCGGAGUACCUGCGGAGGGAUCAUUACAGAGUUGCAAAACUCCAAACCAUUGUGAACUUACCUUUGCCGUUGCUUCGGCGGGCGGCCCGGGUCCCGACCCGGCGCCCCCCGGCCCCGUCAGGGGCGCCCGCCGGAGGUAAACCAAACUCUUGAAUUGUAUGGCCUCUCUGAGUCUUCUGUACUGAAUAAGUCAAAACUUUCAACAACGGAUCUCUAGAUCGGAAGA